rnacentral:rRNA from 1 species
AGUGAACGCUGGCGGUAGGCCUAACACAUGCAAGUCGAACGAAGUCUUCGGACUUAGUGGCGGACGGGUGAGUAACACGUGGGAACGUGCCUUUAGGUUCGGAAUAACUCAGGGAAACUUGUGCUAAUACCGAAUGUGCCCUUCGGGGGAAAGAUUUAUCGCCUUUAGAGCGGCCCGCGUCUGAUUAGCUAGUUGGUGAGGUAAAGGCUCACCAAGGCUACGAUCAGUAGCUGGUCUGAGAGGAUGACCAGCCACAUUGGGACUGAGACACGGCCCAAACUCCUACGGGAGGCAGCAGUGGGGAAUCUUGCGCAAUGGGCGAAAGCCUGACGCAGCCAUGCCGCGUGGAUGAUGAAGGUCUUAGGAUUGUAAAAUCCUUUCACCGGUGAAGAUAAUGACUGUAGCCGGAGAAGAAGCCCCGGCUAACUUCGUGCCAGCCGCCGCUGUAAUAC